rnacentral:rRNA from 1 species
UACGGAGGAUCCAAGCGUUAUCCGGAUUUAUUGGGUUUAAAGGGUGCGUAGGCGGAACGAUAAGUCAGUGGUGAAAGCCUGCAGCUUAACUGUAGAAUUGCCGUUGAUACUGUUGUUCUUGAGUAUAUUUGAUGUGGGCGGAAUGUGUCAUGUAGCGGUGAAAUGCUUAGAUAUGACACAGAACACCGAUUGCGAAGGCAGCUCACAAAAACUAUAAACUGACGCUGAGGCACGAAAGCGUGGGGAUCAAACAGG